GCCAGCAGCCGCGGUAAUUCCAGCUCCAAUAGCGUAUAUUAAAGUUGUUGCAGUUAAGAAGCUCGUAGUUGAAUUUCUGCCUUAUCAUUAAUUUCGCUUCCGAACGUAAUUUUAUUGAUUUGGCAUCUUCUGGAUUAUAUAUUAUUUUUAAUAUAUUUUUCCAGUAUUUUACUUUGAGAAAACUAGAGUGUUUCAAACAGGCUUUUGCCUUGAAUACUACAGCAUGGAAUAAUGAAGUAGGACUAUUGGUUCUAUUUUGUUGGUUAUCGAACCAUAGUAAUGGUUAAUAGGAGCAGUUGGGGGCAUUCGUAUUUAACUGUCAGAGGUGAAAUUCUUAGAUUUGUUAAAGACGAACUACUGCGAAAGCAUUUGCCAAGGAUGUUUUCAUUAAUCAAGAACGAAAGUUAGGGGAUCGAAGACGAUCAGAUACCGUCGUAGUCCUAA
rnacentral:rRNA from 1 species